GAUGAAGAACGUAUCGAAAUGCGAUAAGUAAUGCGAAUUGCAGAAUUCAGUGAGUCAUCGAAUCUUUGAACGCACAUUGCGCCCUGUGGUAUUCCGCAGGGCAUGCCUGUUCGAGCGUCAUUUCAACCCUCAAGCCUCGCUUGGUGUUGGGCCCUGCCCGCCGCGGCCGGCCCUAAAGAUAGUGGCGGCGCCGCCUGGCCCUCAGCGUAGUACAGCUCUCGCUCCAGGGUCCGGCGGCAGCCUGCCAGAACCCCCCAACUCUGUGGUUGACCUCGGAUCAGGUAGGGAUACCCGCUGAACUUAAGCAUAUCAAUAAGCGGAGGA
rnacentral:misc_RNA from 1 species